UUUAUUAUCGGUGUAUAGGAAAGCAGUUGACUCUUGUUUAUUUACUUUGUAUUCUGCAGCUUUGCUAUAUUUGCUUUUUAGUUUCAAGGAGAUUUUUUGUUACUUCUUUCAGAUUUUCUGUAUUACCUAGACAAUCAUGUCAUAGGUGAACAAAGAUUUAUGUCUGCCUUCCUAAUCUGCUUACGUUUUUUUCCCCUACUCUUGCCUUAUUAUGGUAACAAGGACUUGUAGUACAGUGUUGAAAAGGCAUGGUGAGAGGGGACAUCCUUGUUUUGUACCUAAACUUAGUGGGAAGGCUUCAGGUAUGAUGUUAGCUGUAGAGUUUUUAGUUUUGUUUUUUUUUGUUUUUUUUUUUUUUUUGUAUUUUUUUAUCUCUAGAAUCUGCAAUUUUUAGAGACAUUGUUUUUUAUUUUUUUUAUUUUUAUUUUUUAUUUAUUUAUUUUUUUAACAGAGUUUUUAUCAUGAGUAGAUACUAGAUUUUGUAUGCUUUUUCUGCAUUUCUCAAUAAGAUCAUGUUUUGUUUUGUUUGUUUGUUUGUUUUCAUUCUGUUGAUGAUAGAUUACAUCCUUUGAUUUUCAAAUAUUGAACCAACCUUGCAUACCUGGGAUAAAUGCUACUUGGUUGUUAUAUAUAAUUCUUUUAAUACUUUUUUGAGGGUUUGAUUGGCUAAUAUUUUUUUGAGGAUUUUGCGUCUGUAUUUAUAAGAGAUGUUGAUCUGUCAUUUUCUUUUCUUAGUUUUGGUAGAGGCAUACCUCAGAGAUAUUGUAGGUUCAGUUUAAGACCACCACAAUAAAGCGAGUAUCACAAUAAAGCAAGUCAUGCAAAUUUUUUGUUUCCCAGUGCAUAUAAAAUUGAUAUUUAUAUUGUACUGUAGUCUGUUGGGUGUCCAGUAGCAUUAUGUCUAAAAACAAUAUACUUAAUUAAAAAUGUUUAUUGCUAGAAAAUGAAGUCUUCAGUGAGUUGCUGUAAUAUUUUUGCUGGUAGAGUAUCUUGCCUCUUGACGGCUACAGACUGAUUAGGGUGGUAGUUGCUGAAGAUUGAGGUAGCUGUGGCAAUUUCUUAAAAUAACACAGCAGUGAAGUUUGCAACCUCAGUUGACUCUUCCUUUCUAUAGCAUGCAGUAAGGCAACAGAGGUCCUAAAUGAUACCAUAGAACAGUUAGACUUAAUUGAUGUUUUCAGGAUGUAACAUCAAAAAAACCCAGAAUACGUAUUUUUUUCAAGUGCACAUGGAACACCCUUUAGUACUAACCAUGUAUGAGGACACAAGACAAGCUUUUACAAAUUUAAGAGGAUAGAAAUUAUUUUAAGAAUUUUUUCUGACCACAAUGACAUGAAACUAGAAAUCAACCACAGAAAGAGAAAUGAGAAAAAAAAAUGAUUACAUGGAGGCUAAAUAAUAUGCUAGUUAAUAAACAGUGGGUAUGAGGAAAUCAAAGAAGAAAUUAAAAAAUACCUUGGGACAGGAGUUCCCGUCGUGGCGCAGUGGUUAACGAAUCCGACUAGGAACCGUGAGGUUGUGGGUUCGGUCCCUGCGCUUGCUCAGUGGGUUAACGAUCUGCAAGCUGUGGUGUAGGUUGCAGACGCGGCUCAGAUCCUGCGUUGCUGUGGCUCUGGCGUAGGCCGGUGGCUGCAGCUCCGAUUAGACCCCUAGCCUGGGAACCUCCAUAUGCCGUGGAAGCGGCCCAAAGAAAUAGCAAAAAGACAAAAAAAAAACCAAAAAACCUUGGGACAAACAACAUUGAAAAUACAGCAGGCAUUGCUGUUCCCAUGGCUCAGUGGAAAUGAAUCUGACCAGCAUCCAUGAGGACACAGGUUCAAUCCCUGGUCUUACUCUGUGGGUUAAGGUUAUGGUGUUGCUCUGAGCCAUGGUGUAGGUUACAGACAUGGCUUGGAUCCUGUAUUGCUGUGGCUAUGGCAUAGGCCAGCAGCUAUAGCUCUGAUUUGAUCCCUAACCUGGGAACCUCCAUAUGCCACAGGUGUGGCC
rnacentral:lncRNA from 1 species